rnacentral:rRNA from 1 species
UACGUAGGAGACGAGCGUUGUCCGGAGUUACUGGGCGUAAAGGGUGCGCAGGUGGCGGCGCGCGUGGGGGGUGAAAUCGCCCGGCUUAACUGGGCGGGGGCCUUCCAGACGGCGUGGCUUGAGCAGCGGAGGGGGACGUGGAAUUCCGGGUGGAGCGGUGAAAUGCGUAGAGAUCCGGAAGAACACCGGUGGCGAAGGCGGCCUGCUGGGCAGUGGCUGACGCUGAGGCGCGACAGCGUGGGGAGCAAACAGG